rnacentral:lncRNA from 1 species
AUGGGGAAGUCUCCUGGGCCUCGCCCCCGAGCACCCCACGGGCUCGGGGGUUCCUGCGCCCCGCGGCUUCAAGACGUCUGUGUUUGCAGUGAGCCCCAGGACUGGCAGGGCGUGUGCAUCCGGGCUCGUGGCCCCUACUCCCAAUGCUCAGCCUCGGAGGCGCAAAAGCUCGAAGGUCUGGUCAGUGCGGACCCCAGGCCUACAGGGCCUAGGUCGGGAACCCAGUCUCCCUGCAUCCCCAGCCUCCCUCUCUGCAGCCACGCAAGCCCUCGGCGAAGCCGUCCGGAGAGUUACCGCGGAGGCCCAGGCGAGAAGACUAAAGAGGCUGCGGGACUCCGUGGCCGGGGCGGCUGCUCUCCGCCCGCCCGCGCCGCUCGCUCCAGCUGCUGCCUUUCCCGCGGCACGUCGCAACGGGUCCCCGGGCCCGCGUGCGGUUGGCGGAAGCCGGAGGAAGAUGGCCCGGGCGCGAGUCCUCCCCGGAGACCUGCUGGGGGCCGCUGCAGUCUGAGGAGCCCGCGCCCCCGCGCCGCGCGCCGCGCCCGCGGCCGCCCGAGUUCGCCCAGAAAGGUGCAGUGCAGAGCGAGGCUGCGGGGAGCACCAUGCCCCAGGGCGGCGAGGCAGGAGUGCGGCCGAGCCCCUACCUUUCUCGCGGGGCGGACACCAGACCCACGCCCUAGCCGAGUGUCCCGGACAGGAAAAUUACCGCGAAGGGAGGGCCGAGGAAAGACGGCGGGUGACUUCAGGACAAGAUAAUCCCUUGUGAAAGCAGUUUCUGAAGGCAAAGUAGAACCUAAUAGCAUUUCUCAACAGUGAGUCUGGGAACCCAUACUGUAAGUUGAAUGCAGCUGGAAUGGGAGAGUAGUCAACAUGUUUUACUCAAUGCACUCAAAGAGAAAUGUAGAAUUAUAAAUCUGUUGUCUGUAUACAUUCUCAUCAAAGUUGGAAGAAAAUCCAAU